UACGGGGGGAGCAAGCGUUGUUCGGAUUUACUGGGCGUAAAGGGCGCGUAGGCGGCCACCGCAAGUCGACUGUGAAAUCUCUGGGCUUAACCCAGAAAGGUCAGCCGAUACUGCGGGGCUAGAGUGCAGAAGGGGCAACUGGAAUUCUCGGUGUAGCGGUGAAAUGCGUAGAUAUCGAGAGGAACACCUGCGGCGAAGGCGGGUUGCUGGGCUGACACUGACGCUGAAGCGCGAAAGCUAGGGGAGCGAACGGG
rnacentral:rRNA from 1 species